rnacentral:rRNA from 1 species
UACGGAGGGUGCAAGCGUUGUCCGGAAUCACUGGGCGUAAAGGGCGUGUAGGCGGUUUGGUAAGUGAGAUGUGAAAUGCUUCGGCUCACCCGAAGACCUGCAUCUCAAACUGCCGGACUAGAGUAUGGGAGAGGACAAGGGAAUUCCUGGUGUAGCGGUGAAAUGCGUAGAUAUCAGGAGGAACACCGGUGGCGAAAGCGCUUGUCUGGCCCAAUACUGACGCUGAGGCGCGAAAGCUAGGGGAGCAAACGGG